GCUUGCUCCCUGAUGUUAGCGGCGGACGGGUGAGUAACACGUGGGUAACCUGCCUGUAAGACUGGGAUAACUCCGGGAAACCGGGGCUAAUACCGGAUGGUUGUUUGAACCGCAUGGUUCAAACAUAAAAGGUGGCUUCGGCUACCACUUACAGAUGGACCCGCGGCGCAUUAGCUAGUUGGUGAGGUAACGGCUCACCAAGGCAACGAUGCGUAGCCGACCUGAGAGGGUGAUCGGCCACACUGGGACUGAGACACGGCCCAGACUCCUACGGGAGGCAGCAGUAGGGAAUCUUCCGCAAUGGACGAAAGUCUGACGGAGCAACGCCGCGUGAGUGAUGAAGGUUUUCGGAUCGUAAAGCUCUGUUGUUAGGGAAGAACAAGUACCGUUCGAAUAGGGCGGUACCUUGACGGUACCUAACCAGAAAGCCACGGCUAACUACGUGCCAGCAGCCGCGGUAAUACGUAGGUGGCAAGCGUUGUCCGGAAUUAUUGGGCGUAAAGGGCUCGCAGGCGGUUUCUUAAGUCUGAUGUGAAAGCCCCCGGCUCAACCGGGGAGGGUCAUUGGAAACUGGGGAACUUGAGUGCAGAAGAGGAGAGUGGAAUUCCACGUGUAGCGGUGAAAUGCGUAGAGAUGUGGAGGAACACCAGUGGCGAAGGCGACUCUCUGGUCUGUAACUGACGCUGAGGAGCGAAAGCGUGGGGAGCGAACAGGAUUAGAUACCCUGGUAGUCCACGCCGUAAACGAUGAGUGCUAAGUGUUAGGGGGUUUCCGCCCCUUAGUGCUGCAGCUAACGCAUUAAGCACUCCGCCUGGGGAGUACGGUCGCAAGACUGAAACUCAAAGGAAUUGAC
rnacentral:rRNA from 1 species